rnacentral:rRNA from 1 species
CAGCCGCCGCGGUAAUACGAAGGGGGCUAGCGUUGCUCGGAAUUACUGGGCGUAAAGGGCGCGUAGGCGGAUAGUUAAGUCAGAGGUGAAAGCCCAGGGCUCAACCUUGGAACUGCCUUUGAUACUGGCUAUCUUGAGUUCGGGAGAGGUGUGUGGAACUCCGAGUGUAGAGGUGAAAUUCGUAGAUAUUCGGAAGAACACCAGUGGCGAAGGCGACACACUGGCCCGAUACUGACGCUGAGGCGCGAAAGCGUGGGGAGCAAAUAGGAUUAGAUACCCCGGUAGUCCCUGUCUCUUAUAC